CUACCUGUUCUCGUAAGAUCACCGAAGUUAAACAACGUUGAGCCUGGCCAGUACCUAGAUGGGUGACCGGGAAUACCAGGUGCUGUAAG